rnacentral:lncRNA from 1 species
UUUAAGGUGUGUGCCACCACCCACCACCCACCACCCAACUGUUUCCAGUUUUAAAAGGGAACAAAGUUGCCAUAAAUUGAAUUUUCAAACUGAAAAACUAAGGUCUGUAAUAUUUGUAUCUUAAAAUUUGAAGAAAAAUCUCCAUCCCCUAAGCAAAGAAAUUAUUUUCAGUUUGUAAAAUUGUUAUUAGAAUUUUUGUGUAUGUACUCACUAAGAAAGUACAUUUUCCAGGGGCUGGGGGUGUGGCUCAGAGGGAGAGCACUUGCCUAACACACACAGAGCCCUGGGUUCAGGCCCAGCCCCUGCCACAUACGGGUGCCUUUGUGGUACAGUGACCAACCUUGACUGUGUCAGCACCGCUGCAGAUUUCCUCUUUCACAACAGUGCUACAGUACAAAUUGUUGGCAAAGGAAAAUGUAACUACUUGGCACUAUUAUACCUAAGAGUAGAUUAAUUGGUUAAAAAAUAAUUAAUUAACUCUUAAUUGGGAUGACCAUUCCUAUUUAGAUACGUAGUAGUUUAGAAAGUGAAGACUUCCUAAGUUAUUUAAGAUUAAUGUCCUAUUUAUAUAAUGUUUAGGUUCUAAGGAGGAAUUGUGGAGUCAUAACAGAAUGCAUAGGGACGUCUUUUAGGAAGAAUGGGGCUGUAUUUUGACCUUAGAAAGUUUGCAUAUUAUUUCAUUUUCGUAAGGCUUAUUAACAUGAAUUGCUUUAUCAGACUUAAUGUUUGUGGAGAGGAAUGAUAUUUACCUAUCUAGCUCUCUUAUAAAAGAUAACUUGCUUAAAACCAUAUGUAUAGUAAAAUUAAAGACAAAGCUAUUUGGUUGAAUUGGGGAGAGAGAAAAACAUUAGCAUACACUUUCAUGUUGAGCUUGGGUUCUUUUUAGAUAAAGGCUGUGUGAACUCAGGCCCUACUGAAAAAAAGUGUAUCAACACAUACAUUAAAAAGUGUUGCAUGCACUCCCAAGAGACCCUGGGUGUGAAAAAACAUCCCAGACAACAGGUUAAAGACCUACAAGACAACAGGUUAGAGUCAAUUGCUGUAUCAAGGUGAGAACUUUUAAUUUAUUGCACAGAGCUCAGAUGAGCACGUUUUUAAAUUAAUGGUUUGCUAUUGUGUGACCCGACGAAGGCCGGCACAACGCUCACAUGUUUUAAACACUAUUUUGAGGGCACUGAAAUGUCAUGUUUCUGGGAUUCCUAAGGAGAGCUGUAAGAGAAUGUGUUAUCACCUAACAGUCUUAACAGCAUGGAGCAUUCGAAUAGUUUAAAAGCCUAUGCAAAACACGCAUUCAGGGAUGUUUGACUGGGUUCCCACGUUUGUAAGACAGCCCUCUUGUUCUUUGGGCACUUCACUCAGACUGACAUUUUCAUUUAGUGGUUUUACACCUGGAUUACUGUGCAAUACAGGAGAAAACCAGCUUUGUCAUGUUCACCCUGCAGGACUGCCAAGGUGCUGCCUCCUCCCCACAACCGUGUCUCCUCAGGACGUAAACACUACAAAUUAUAUGUCCUCCUAUGCUUCCCUCUGACAGGAUGAGCUUCUAGCGUUUGUCUGAGGCAGUAUACAAGGAUUUGCUAUCUGCGAUUUUAGUAUUUUGUCCACAAUUUUAAUAUUUUGGAUGCUCAUUUUGGUUACUUCACCCCCCCCCCCCACUACACCCAGUUCUCCCAGCAUAGGAGCUGCUGCUUUCUGAGCAAACGAUGAGAACAGCAUAAAAAAACGUAGACACUUAGCUUUAACAGGACAGACACGCUGUUCUCCAGCUCUCCCUUAAGCCUGCCGUCUCCUGUGCUUGCCCCUUUAAUGUGUAUCAGUGGUAUUUAUAAAAUGCGUUCUAUAAUUAUGUACUUGUACAUACUGUUGUGUAUUGUUCAGUGACGUCCUGAGGCGGGCCCUGUUGCUGUAUCUGUCCUACUUCCUAUUUGUAAUAGAAACUAUAGAAUGUAUGACUAAGAAGUCACUUUGAGAUUGACUUUUUUAAAAAGUUAUUUACCUUCUGCUGUUGAGAAGUGCAAAGCUGUGAGUGGAAAUGUUUUAUUCCGAUUUAAUAAUAUGUUAGAAAUUAGAAACCCGGUGGGAGGAGUUUUAGAUAUGCUGCUGCUGUUACCCAAGGUACUUUAGAAAUUUUUCUUUAAUAAAAAGAUCCCUUUGAUAUUUAAAGUAAAACAGUCUGUUUUUUGAAUCUAAAAAUGUAAUUUGGGUCAACAUAUUGAUAUAUUUGUAAAAGUGCCUUAGUAUAUUCCUUUGUGGAGGGCACUACCCAGUUUACUUUUAUAUUGUAUUAUGUAUGUAAGUAUUUUGUAUUAAAAUGGAAUCAAUGGCAACACUACCAUUUUAUAAAACAGUGCUUUGCUAGAAAAAAAUUACAGCUUUGCAAUAUAACAACUGUUUUUGGAUAUUUCUGAAUGUAAUAGAGCAAAUAAUCAGUCUGUUUUUAAUGAAUCCAUUUGUAUUUUCCCAAUCAUUUCUUCUAGUGUAAUAUUUGCUGGGAUAAUAAAAAAGCAAACUUCAAAUUUUUCAAUUAUGAC